rnacentral:rRNA from 1 species
AGUCGAGCGGACCGACGGGAGCUUGCUCCCUUAGGUCAGCGGCGGACGGGUGAGUAACACGUGGGUAACCUGCCUGUAAGACUGGGAUAACUCCGGGAAACCGGGGCUAAUACCGGAUGCUUGAUUGAACCGCAUGGUUCAAUCAUAAAAGGUGGCUUUUAGCUACCACUUACAGAUGGACCCGCGGCGCAUUAGCUAGUUGGUGAGGUAACGGCUCACCAAGGCGACGAUGCGUAGCCGACCUGAGAGGGUGAUCGGCCACACUGGGACUGAGACACGGCCCAGACUCCUACGGGAGGCAGCAGUAGGGAAUCUUCCGCAAUGGACGAAAGUCUGACGGAACAACGCCGCGUGAGUGAUGAAGGUUUUCGGAUCGUAAAACUCUGUUGUUAGGGAAGAACAAGUACCGUUCGAAUAGGGCGGUACCUUGACGGUACCUAACCAGAAAGCCACGGCUAACUACGUGCCAGCAGCCGCGGUAAUACGUAAGUGGCAAGCGUUGUCCGGAAUUAUUGGGCGUAAAGCGCGCGCAGCGGUUUCUUAAGUCUGAUGUGAAAGCCCCCGGCUCAACCGGGGAGGGUCAUUGGAAACUGGGGAACUUGAGUGCAGAAGAGGAGAGUGGAAUUCCACGUGUAGCGGUGAAAUGCGUAGAGAUGUGGAGAACACCCAGUGGCGAAAGCGACUCCUCUGGUCUGUAACUGACCGCUGAAGCCGCGAAAGCGUGGGGAGCGAACAGAAUUAGAUAACCCUGGUAGUCCACCGCCGUAAACGAUGAAUGCUAAAUGGUUAAAGGUUUCCGCCCUUAUGCUGCAGCAAACGCCAUUAAGCCACUCCGCCUGGGGAGAUACCGUCCGCCAAGAACUGAAACCUCCAAUGAAUUUGACCGGGGCCCCCGCCACAGCCGUUGAGACAAUGUGUUUAUAAUUCCAAGCCACACGCGAAGAACCUUAGCCAGGUCCUGAACAUUCCCCUCUGACCAACCAUAAAGAUACGGCUUCCCCC